GCCGGGGUGCCCGAGCGGACUAAGGGGCAGGCCUGGAGAGCCUGUGGGGCACAUGCCCCGCGCGGGUUCGAAUCCCGCCCCCGGCGCCA
rnacentral:tRNA from 1 species